AAAGGGAGACCUAAUUCAGGUAGGAGACGAAAAAAAAGUAGUCCCUACCAAGAAUCAAUCCCAAAAGGUCGGAGCGAGGCGAAAUUGGCUUUCAAACUAGGUUCUGGGUUCAAACAAGACCUGAAUCAGGAACAAGGGCUAUUAGCUCAGGUGGUUAGAGCGCACCCCUGAUAAGGGUGAGGUCCCUGGUUCGAGUCCAGGAUGGCCCACCUGUACAGGUGGCAAAAAGAAAGAAAAGAAGCGAGGAAUCAGCACCUUAUCUUACUUAUAUAGUAAGAGAGAAUGCUGGCUCUGAGUUCAGAGUCCAGAGGAACCUUGAAAACUGCAUAGAGCUAGGUGAAAAAGCCAAAAAAGAAGACCGCAAG
rnacentral:tRNA from 1 species